rnacentral:rRNA from 1 species
UCAAAAACAUGGCUUAUUGAUUUUAAUUUUAAGUCUAGCCUGCCCCCUGAAGUUUUAAAUGGCCGCGGUAUUUUGACCGUGCUAAGGUAGCAUAAUCAUUAGUUUCUUAAUUAGAAGCUGGAAUGAAGGGUUGGAUGAAAAAAUUUCUGUCUCUAUUUAAAUUUAUUAAAAUUUUAUUUUUUAGUAAAAAAGCUAAAAUUAUUUUAAAAGACGAGAAGACCCUAUAGAGUUUAAUAUAUAAUUAUUUUAAUAUUUAUUAGGAUAUAAAUUUUUAAUUUAAUAAUAUAUUUGAUUGGGGUGAUUGAAAAAUUAAAUAAACUUUUUUUUAUUUUUUACAUUAAUUUAUGAGUUAUUGAUCCAUAUUUUAUGAUUAUAAGAUUAAAUUACCUUAGGGAUAACAGCGUAAUGUUUUCAGAGAGUUCUUAUCGAAGGAAAAGAUUGCGACCUCGAUGUUGGAUUAAAAUUAAUUAUUGGUGUAGAAGCUAAUAUUAUUAGGUCUGUUCGACCUUUAAAAUUUUACAUGAUCUGA